AUUGAACGCUGGCGGCAGGCCUAACACAUGCAAGUCGAGCGGAUGAAGGGAGCUUGCUCCUGGAUUCAGCGGCGGACGGGUGAGUAAUGCCUAGGAAUCUGCCUUGUCGUGGGGGAUAACGUCCGUAAACGGGCGCUAAUACCGCAUACGUCCUGAGGGAGAAAGUGGGGGAUCUUCGGACCUCACGCUAUCAGCUGAGCCUAGGUCGGAUUAGCUAGUUGGUGGGGUAAAGGCCUACCAAGGCGACGAUCCGUAACUGGUCUGAGAGGAUGAUCAGUCACACUGGAACUGAGACACGGUCCAGACUCCUACGGGAGGCAGCAGUGGGGAAUAUUGGGCAAUGGGCGAAAGCCUGAUCCAGCAAUGCCGCGUGUGUGAAGAAGGUCUUCGGAUUGUAAAGCACUUUAAGUUGGGAGGAAGGGCAGUAAGUUAAUACCUUGCUGUUUUGACGUUACCAACAGAAUAAGCACCGGCUAACUUCGUG
rnacentral:rRNA from 1 species